CACCUUCAUGGCCGCCCACUGCCCUUGGAUGGGGUUCAAGCUCCUUAAAACAGCCUACAGCGCCCUGGAGUCUAUCUCUGGGUAACCUAUCUGAGAGGCAGGCCACCUAGGGCAGCGUGACAGCAUGUGGCACUGUGCUGCCACCAGCACUGCCGCACACCAGGGCCCGUGUGGGGACAGGCAAGACAGCUACCAGCACCAGUACCGACGAAGGAAGAAGCACGUUUACUAAAAUAGGUCUUUAUUCUGAAUAAGAUCAAUGUCAUUUCCUGAAUUCCAGCUAGCAUCAAAUAUCAGAAAAAAAAACUUGACAAAAUGUUUUCCAAUCAAAAUUAACAGUGGAUAGAAAAAUUCUUUUAAAACUUUUAAGUUAUAACACAAAAGAAAUACCUAAACAGGCAACAUACAGUUCAAAAAGUUGCAAAUGUUGAUUUUACGUUAGAUCUCAUAAAUAAAAAUAUCCCCAAUAUAGUAAUUUUCUUUUUCACUGCUUCCUUUUAUAAGCACAUAGACAGGGAAAUCACAUCUUAAUAUUCACAACUGUUAUUUAUAUUCUUUACAAAGAUCAUAUCUCUGCAAUGCAACUGGGCAAUUCCUUAUUCAAGUUACUUUUGUUUUCCAAGUUAUCAAAAAGUACAACUGUCUGAGAUAAAAUGUGACCACAAUCACAACCAGGGAAGUGGAAGGCAUUAGCAGGUAGGCGUCAAAAUGGGAGUUUUCAUUGUUCCGCCGUGAUCUGAGGAUGAUCUUUAAAUUAAAAAGCCAUUACCUAAGUACCAAGACCUACAGGUAACAAUCUGGAUUUAGAUUUAGUCUGUAGCUACUAAUGAAUCAAGAGUUUUAGUAAAAGGACCAUUAGAUUGUAAGUAUAAAAGAAUCAGUGCACAUUUGCUAAUGUCGUUGAUAAUAAAAAUAUGUAACGCUCUCAGUUCAGCUUUAGACCAACGAAACACCCAUUUUCCCCUUCCACUCCGCAUCUCCAUGGGCCUCAAAUAUUCGAAUGCUCAGCAACACCUCAAGGGCCUACUGAACAAUGACAGCCUGAGGUGCCACCUGAGUUUUGAUCAGAUGGUU